CCUACGGGAGGCUGCAGUGAGGAAUAUUGGUCAAUGGAGGCAACUCUGAACCAGCCAAGUAGCGUGCAGGAUGACGGCCCUAUGGGUUGUAAACUGCUUUUAUGCGGGGCUAAACUGACUCUCGUGUGGCUUAUUUCUGGUACUGCAUGCAUAAGGACCGGCUAAUUCCGUGCCAGCAGCCGCGGUAAUACGGAAGGUCCGGGCGUUAGCCGGAUUUAUUGGGUUUAAAGGGAGCGCAGGUCGCGGAUUAAGGUUGUUGGGAAAUGCUGCGGCUUAACCGGGGCACUGCAGCGGGAACUGGGGGGCUUGAGUGAAGCUGAGGUAGGCGGAAUUCGUGGUGUAGCGGUGAAAUGCUUAGAUAUCACGAAGAACUCC
rnacentral:rRNA from 1 species